rnacentral:rRNA from 1 species
AAAUGAAUAGACGGGGACCCGCACAAGCGGUGGAGCAUGUGGUUUAAUUCGAAGCAACGCGAAGAACCUUACCAAGUCUUGACAUCCCUCUGACAGGUCCAUAAAGGGACCCUCCCUUCGGGGCAGAGGUGACAGGUGGUGCAUGGUUGUCGUCAGCUCGUGUCGUGAGAUGUUGGGUUAAGUCCCGCAACGAGCGCAACCCUUAUCUUUAGUAGCCAGCAUUUUAGGUGGGCACUCUAGAGAGACUGCCAGGGAUAACCUGGAGGAAGGUGGGGAUGACGUCAAAUCAUCAUGCCCCUUAUGACUUGGGCUACACACGUGCUACAAUGGUGACAACAAAGAGAGGCAAAGUCGUGAGGCGAAGCAAAUCUCAAAAAAGUCAUCUCAGUUCGGAUUGUAGUCUGCAACUCGACUACAUGAAGCUGGAAUCGCUAGUAAUCGCAGAUCAGAAUGCUGCGGUGAAUACGUUCCCGGGUCUUGCACACACCGCCCGU